GCUGCAUGGCCGUCGUCAGCUCGUGUCGUGAGAUGUUGGGUUAAGUCCCGUAACGAGCGCAACCCUUGUCCUUAGUUGCCAGCACUUCGGGUGGGAACUCUAGGGAGACUGCCGGUGACAAACCGGAGGAAGGUGGGGACGACGUCAGGUCAUCAUGGCCCUUACGACCUGGGCUACACACGUGCUACAAUGGCUGGUACAGAGGGUUGCUAAGUCGCGAGGCGGAGCUAAUCCCUUAAAGCCAGUCGUAGUCCGGAUCGGAGUCUGCAACUCGACUCCGUGAAGUCGGAAUCGCUAGUAAUCGCGGAUCAGAAUGCCGCGGUGAAUACGUUCCCGGGUCUUGUACACACCGA
rnacentral:rRNA from 1 species